CUGCAUCCACAAUAGAUUUUACCAAAACAUGUUUAGAAACAAAGAUGAACUAAACAAAAAAUGUAUUUUUAUUAAUUGCUGAUAUUUCUCCUACCUUCUUCUUCUCCUCAGCGGCAGGUGCAGCUGCUGCAGCACCACCACCGGCAGCAGGGGCAGCAGCUGAAACUGGGGCACCACCUCCGCCACCAGCACCGACGUUCAUGAUGAGGUCAGUAACGUUACGCUUCUCUGCCAUUUUGGCGAAUAGCAUUGGCCAGUAUGACUCGCAACUAACACCAGCGGAUUUGAUCAACGUAGCGAUCUUGUCGGCCUAACAACAUUCAUAUGAAGGAUUAGAGAUAUUAAAAUAAAACAAUUUUAACUAAGCUUUCAAUUAUCAAGCAAACAGACACAACAACUAAUACUUCAACUCGAUGUCUUUUAUUAAAAAAUUAGCUAAGAACCGAAGAUUAAGUAAAUGGAUAAUCAGAUAAAUAACAAAAAGAAAAAAAAAACACAAACCGUGAUAGAAAUACCCUCGUCCUCGAGGAUCAUAACAGCGUAGCUGCAAGCAAGCUCUCCGACCGUCGACAUUGAUUUUUCUUUCUGAAAACCAUGUAAGAACAACAGCCAAUUAAUCACCUAUUUAUCAAUAAAUAUCAAUACUCGGAAUACACAAAUUAAGACUUUAAAUCAAACUAAACAUAUGCACAUACAAUCUAACAGUGAGAGGUUCCAGGACUAAUAAAAUAGAAAUGGAGAAGCAUCGAAAGUACCUUAGACUGGGAUCGAAAAUGCUUUCGGAGAGCGGCUCAAGUGAAUUUCGCUAGGGUUUGAAGCCAAGUUAGGGAGACGCGUCGGACCUUCUCCUCUUCUAGCUCUCGUCACCGCCUCUUUAGCCACUUCCCUCACCUUCAACACAUCCAUACCGUCAACAUGAACGCCCGGCAUCCCAAACGCAGGUCCUUUCUUCCAAAUCUCAGGAUCAGAAGUCGAUCUCAAGUGAGACAUCCCAAUAGCCCACAAGUUAUUCUCCACAACGAAGAUAAUAGGCAACUUAUAAAGCGCAGCCAUGUUGAGACACUCGUAGAGCUGCCCGUUGUUACAAGUCCCGUCUCCGAAGAACGCAACAGUGACGUCAUCGCAGUCCUGUUUCAAGACCUCUCUCUUGUACUUUGAGGUGAACGCAGCACCGGUGGCCACAGGGAUGCCUUCGCCGAUGAAGGCGAACCCACCGAGCAUGUUGUGUUCUUUAGAGAACAUGUGCAUGGACCCACCUUGGCCUCUGCAGCAUCCCGUGACUUUCCCGAAGAGCUCGCUCAUGACGGCGCGAGCGGAGACGCCUUUGCUGAGGGCGUGGACGUGGUCACGGUAUGUGCUGACGACUGAAUCGGACUGUGUGAGGAGCUUGAUGAAGCCGGUGGAGACGGCUUCUUGGCCGUUGUACAAGUGGACAAAACCAAACAUCUUGCCACGGUAGUACAUUUGAGCACACAUGUCCUCGAAAGAUCUACCGAGGAUCAUGUCUUCAUACAACACUAAUCCUUCCUCUUUGGUUAUUAACUAAUUUCAAAACAAAUCAAAUAAAAAUCUUACAAUCUAGAUAACUCCAAUUUCUCAAUCAAAAGCAUAUAUAGAAAUUUAAAUAAUCUCAUAGUUAUAAUACUACAGAACUAACUCUCUCGAUAAUAAGUAUCAGUGAGUUUGGACAAUGCAUAAUACCAGGCUGUUGGUGACUUUCUUCUCCUUGACAACUUCUUGGACGCCAACGACGGGAGAUCGACGAGCGGCGUGAGCGUGGUAGAGUCUGCGAGAAGAAGGAAUGGUGAGAGAGCGGGUGGAUCCGAGGAAAGAAGAAGGAGGAGGAGCCAAUCGGAUCGGGGGAAGUAAGAGACGAUUCUCUUGAGAUCCAUGGAGAGGAAGUGUGGCGGAGAAAGACGUAGCCAUUUCGAUAUAGUUGAGACCAAUGAGAUUCAAAGAACUGAGUAAAAUAAACUGUAAGGAGAGAGAGAGGCGGAAAAAACGAGGAAGACAGGAAGAGGAUGAGUUGGAAGUGUAACAACUAACAAGAGACAGAAGUAUGUUGUUGUUUCAAUCCAUAAACCCAAAUAGAAGCGCGUUUGAUCCACUCUCCUUCUCCUCAUUAACACAUUUAAUGGACCGGGCUCACCGACAAGAACAACUAUUGUAAAGCCCAGUUACUUAUUUACAAGCCUCUCAACAAUUUUAUAUUUCUCAACAUUUAUAUUUAUUCAACCAAUUUCUUGCGAUUGGAUAAUCUUUUCUUGUGAUUCAUGAUUUAUAAAUCUCACACCAAUAUUUGGUUCAACUUAAUCAAUAAAGUAGCCGUUAUAAAAAAAAAAAAAAAUCUCACACCAAUAUUUGUUGUCAAAGAAGAAAUAUAAAGAAAAUGUCAAACUCCCGAUGGUUUUGCUCGGUAGACUUGAGAUACACUACUAACAGGGGAUUCAAGAAAACAACCAAAACUUAAGGAAACGAAGUAGCAACUAAACAAAACAUGGCGUCUCAAUUCGAUAAAACAACCAACUACGAACAAGAAAAAACAAAGCAAUUGCUUCUUGCUUAGUCGAACAAGCCGAAACCCAAAUCACCAUCACUCUCUUCUGCCACUUCUUCCUGCAUCCACAAUAGAUUUUACCAAAACAUGUUUAGAAACAAAGAUGAACUAAACAAAAAAUGUAUUUUUAUUAAUUGCUGAUAUUUCUCCUACCUUCUUCUUCUCCUCAGCGGCAGGUGCAGCUGCUGCAGCACCACCACCGGCAGCAGGGGCAGCAGCUGAAACUGGGGCACCACCUCCGCCACCAGCACCGACGUUCAUGAUGAGGUCAGUAACGUUACGCUUCUCUGCCAUUUUGGCGAAUAGCAUUGGCCAGUAUGACUCGCAACUAACACCAGCGGAUUUGAUCAACGUAGCGAUCUUGUCGGCCUAACAACAUUC
rnacentral:lncRNA from 1 species